AUUGAACGCUGGCGGCAGGCUUAACACAUGCAAGUCGAACGAGUGGCGGACGGGUGAGUAAUGCUUGGGAAUCUAGCUUCUGGAGGGGUAUAACUACGGGAAACUGUAGCUAAUACCGCGUACCCUAGGAUGAGCCCAAGGGGGAUUAGGUAGUUGGUGGGGUAACGGCUCACCAAGCCGACGAGCACUAGCUGGUCUGAGAGGCUGACCAGCCACACUGGGACUGAGACACGGCCCAGACUCCUACGGGAGGCAGCAGUGGGGAAUAGUGCGCAAGGGGGGCCACCUGACGCAGCCAUGCCGCGUGAAUGAAGACGGCGUUCGGGUUGUAAAGUUCUUUCGGUAGCGAGGCGUUAACUACAGAAGAAGCACCGGCGAACAACGAGCCAGCAGCCGCGGUAAUAC
rnacentral:rRNA from 1 species